CAUUCCGGCGGGGUCGUGCACGCCGGUUGCUUGAAAGCUUCCUGCGUUUUCUGCGUUCUUUGUGUGCUUCGCUGUGACAUCUUUGCAAUAUUUCUGCGUGUUGCUCGCUUUUUAUGGGCUUGUUGCCUCGAAGAUCGCCGUGAUCGCCUCCGACUAAGCGACAUCAAAGAUUCAAAGUGAGCUGGGAGACGCCCCAGCUGGAACGCUAAAGGUUCACAUAGGUUGAAGGAGUGCACAUUGAGAAGGUUAUCCUGGCACAGCUUACCAUGGCCUGCCAUGGUGGACCAGGAAAGUUUGCAAGGGCCUUGC